CAUAAUAACUUCUCGAAUCGCAUGGCCUUGUGCUGGCGAUGCUUCAUUCAAAUAUCUGCCCUAUCAACUUUCGAUGGUAGGAUAGAGGCCUACAUGGUUUCAACGGGUAACCGGGGAAUAAGGGUUCGAUUCCGGAGAGGGAGCCUGAGAAACGGUACCACAUCCAAGGAGGCAGCAGGCGCGCAAAUUACCCAAUCCCGACACGGGGAGGUAGUGACAAUAAAUAACAAUAUAGGGCUCUAUUGGGUCUUAUAAUUGGAAUGAGUACAAUUUAAACCCCUUAACGAGGAACAAUUGGAGGGCAAGUCUGGUGCCAGCAGCCGCGGUAAUUCCAGCUCCAAUAGCGUAUAUUAAAGGUUUGUUGCAGUUAAAAAGCUCGUAGUUGAAUUUUAGGCCUGGUUGGACGGUCUGCCUUAGGGUUUGUACUGUCCUGGCUGGGUCUUCCCUUCUGGUAAACUGUCGUGUCGUUAUUCGGUGCGGCAGGGAACCAGGGACUUUUACUUUGACAAAAAUUAGAGUGUUUAAGCAGGGCUACGCCUGAAUUACUUUAGCAUGGAUAAUAAAUAGGACUUUGGUUAUUUGUGGUUCUAGGGACCGAAGUAUGAUUAACUA
rnacentral:rRNA from 1 species